ACGCAUGCGUACGCAGGUUCAUAGGAGUAUAGCUUGUGAUUUUUAAAGGAUGAUCACCUUUUUCCCACCCUUUCUCUCUUCCCCUCACCUUCUCCCCACUACCGGUCCGCGCCGCGACGCCGCCGGCAUGGAGGCCUGGGCUCGGGUUCGUCGGCGAGGUCUCUGGGGAACGCGCGACGGGCUUGACCUCUCCCGGCUCCCCGCCCUCGCCCGCGACGAGGAGGACCAGGUUGCGCUGCGCCUCCAAUCCCAGCUCAUGGUCGCGCUGGACAUGCCCCACGAUGCUGUCUGCGUCGGUUUGAAGCUCGCGGAGGACAGGGACGAGGUGGGGUGAAGAUUCGAUGGCCACACGAUGGGAAAGCAAUGGCGGCGGCUUCACCGAUCCGCGGGAUGGCAAACAGUUUUUUGUGGAUCACCCUGGAGCAGUUCCUAUUUCCACCGCUCAGGAUGAAGAGCUGAAGAAGGUAAUUGGCGGACGGCCUACGUUGAGUGCAGCUCAAAAACACAGCAG